rnacentral:piRNA from 1 species
UACAACUUGGUUUCUGGGUCCUCAUGC